rnacentral:rRNA from 1 species
UACGGAGGGUGCAAGCGUUAUCCGGAUUCACUGGGUUUAAAGGGUGCGUAGGUGGGCGAGUAAGUCAGUGGUGAAAUACUCCAGCUUAACUGGAGGGGUGCCAUUGAUACUGCGGAGCUUGAGUACAGAUGAGGUAGGCGGAAUUGACGGUGUAGCGGUGAAAUGCUUAGAUAUCGUCAAGAACACCUAUAGCGAAGGCAGCUUACUAGGCUGUAACUGACGCUGAGGCACGAAAGUGUGGGGAGCAAACAGG